UCGGCCGGGCACCGGCACGGCCCGCUGCAGUUCUGGCCGACGGCCGGCUGCGGGGAGGACGGGGCGGUCAGCGGCGCUCGGUCAGCGCGCACGCCCUCCCCGGCCGGCCCCGAGUCCCUCCCUGGCAGCCGCCGGCCGCAGCGGGUACUCCCGGCGCUUACCCGGCUGCAGAGGGCGAGGAGGAGCACGAAGGCGACGCGGACGGGACCCACGCUGGCGGCGGUCAUGGUUGGCACUGCGAGCGGGGCGGAGGGCGCGGUGGCGGCGAGCGGGGAGCGGCUGGGUGUGGAGCGCGGGCGGUGGUCGGAGGUAUUUCCCAUAUCUUCCUGUCUUUUCCAUGGCCAAAAAUGAUCAACUAGAGAACAUUAAAGAAGAAAUAAAUUACUAUAUAUUAAAAAAUACAUACUGUAAAAUGUUCUUUACACAAAAAUGUGACAACUUCAAUAAGAGUAACUUGGACAACCUGAGGCAUUAACUGAGGAUCAAUAUGAUGAC
rnacentral:antisense_RNA from 1 species